GGGUGAGUAUGCCUGGGAAAUUGCCCUGAUGUGGGGGAUAACUAUUGGAAACGAUAGCUAAUACCGCAUAACGUCUACGGACCAAAGAGGGGGACCUUCGGGCCUCUCGCUUCAGGAUAUGCCCAGGUGGGAUUAGCUAGUUGGUGAGGUAAUGGCUCACCAAGGCGACGAUCCCUAGCUGGUCUGAGAGGAUGAUCAGCCACACUGGAACUGAGACACGGUCCAGACUCCUACGGGAGGCAGCAGUGGGGAAUAUUGCACAAUGGGCGCAAGCCUGAUGCAGCCAUGCCGCGUGUAUGAAGAAGGCCUUCGGGUUGUAAAGUACUUUCAGUCGUGAGGAAGGCGAUAUAGUUAAUAGCUAUAUCGUUUGACGUUAGCGACAGAAGAAGCACCGGCUAACUCCGUGCCAGCAGCCGCGGUAAUACGGAGGGUGCGAGCGUUAAUCGGAAUUACUGGGCGU
rnacentral:rRNA from 1 species